GACGAACGCUGGCGGCGUGCUUAACACAUGCAAGUCGAACGAGAGGACAAGAGAAGCUUGCUUCUUUUGGAAUCGAGUGGCAAACGGGUGAGUAACACGUAAACAACCUGCCUUCAGGAUGGGGACAACAGACGGAAACGACUGCUAAUACCGAAUACGCUUGGGAGACCGCAUGAUCUACCAAGGAAAGGGUGGCCUCUACCUGUAAGCUAUCGCCUGAAGAGGGGUUUGCGUCUGAUUAGGCAGUUGGUGAGGUAACGGCCCACCAAACCUACGAUCAGUAGCCGGUCUGAGAGGAUGAACGGCCACACUGGAACUGAGACACGGUCCAGACUCCUACGGGAGGCAGCAGUGGGGAAUCUUCCGCAAUGGGCGAAAGCCUGACGGAGCAACGCCGCGUGAGUGAUGACGGCCUCGGUUGUAAGCUCUGUGAUC
rnacentral:rRNA from 1 species